UACGGAGGGCGCAAGCGUUGUUCGGAAUCAUUGGGCGUAAAGCGCGUGUAGGCGGCUUGGCAAGUCGAGUGUGAAAUCCCGGGGCUCAACCCCGGAACGUCGCUCGCAACUGCCUCGCUCGAGGCGCGGAGAGGAAGGCGGAAUUCCCGGUGUAGUGGUGAAAUUCGUGGCUAUCGGGAGGAACAGCAGCGGCCAAGGAGGCCUUCUGGACGGUGACUGACGCUGAGACGCGAGGGCGUGGGGAGCACACAGG
rnacentral:rRNA from 1 species